rnacentral:lncRNA from 1 species
UUUUCUACACAUUUAAAAUACUUCAAUAUACUAGAGAAAAAGGGAAAUCAUAUGGAUGAAAAAACUAAACUUUUGGCAUAUCUUUUAAUUAACGGGUGUUUAAGAUGGUUUCUAAUGGAACUAUCUAUACCGGAUUCAGAUACGGGGUAUCCGAAGAUAUUGUGCCACGACUUUUCAUGUGAGUACUAAUUGUAAUUUUGUAACGUUGCUAGUUUCCUAUUACAUGACACUGAGGUUCACGCGUAUGGCUUAGUAGACCUAAAGGUGUCUUAAAUACCUUGUUCUCAGGAGAUAUGCUUUGAUAUGUCCCAUUCUGAACUCUGAAGUACCAUGUGCGUAAGGUUUGUUAGUUUCUUUUGCUCUUGGUAGACUUUGAAGUCUACUUAUACAAUGAUUAUGCGGGAGAUGUGUCCUCGCAUAGUUCCUUACGGAUCUGAAAACCACGUGUUGUACCAUACCAAUAUUGUAGCAACCGCAUAUGACUACUCUUAUUAAAAACAAGAAAAAAGAUUUCAAAAUAGAUACAUCGACUCACAAGGAGCUGUACAUGAAUGAUGUCUGGCUAUAACUUUAGGUGCGGUAACUUACAAGUCAAACGUCGGAAGCAACACAUGUAUUACAAGGUUCAAUAACUCUAGUUACUCGAACUUACACGGCGGCGAAUCUACAACAAUCGGUGGCGUUAGGGUUUAUAGAGUCGGAUUGUGUGCGGCUUGGACACCCUGCCAUGAAAAUCUUGGAAACUGGAUAGAGAGUCACCGGUGUUCACACGGAGGAGGAAGCAUCUUCCUUUGCCUUCUUUCCCUUGCCUAUGUCUCCUCCUGCUGUUUGUUUUGUUGUGAUGAUUUUUAGUAGCUAAGUAUGUAACCUUGCCUACGGUUUAUUCACGAUUCCGGCGUCUGUAACAUUCUCCGAUAUGCCCCAUUUUUAGGGGUUGAUUUUAAUAUAUUUUAUUAUUAAAAAAAAAAAUAUAACUCUAGUUACAAGUGUAGACAAAAUUUAAAUAAAGCAAACCAUCUACGAAAUUGAAGUCUCUCUUUUUCUCUUUGCAAAUUCACACGGGGUUUAUAGAGUUUUUCUUGGGUUCACCCCCUAGGGUGAACCUAUAGGUUCAUCAUCCAAUUAUAAGCUCAACAGAGGAAUAGGGUUACGACGGCGUUAACAACGUUUUCCUUUUUUUGUUUUUUUUUUAGCGUUAAAAACUAAUUAAUUUUUC